AGAGUUUGAUCCUGGCUCAGGACGAACGCUGGCGGCGUGCUUAACACAUGCAAGUCGAACGGAAAGGCCCUUCGGGGUACUCGAGUGGCGAACGGGUGAGUAACACGUGGGUGAUCUGCCCUGCACUUUGGGAUAAGCCUGGGAAACUGGGUCUAAUACCGAAUAUGACCAUGCACUUCCUGGUGUGUGGUGGAAAGCUUUUGCGGUGUGGGAUGGGCCCGCGGCCUAUCAGCUUGUUGGUGGGGUAAUGGCCUACCAAGGCGACGACGGGUAGCCGGCCUGAGAGGGUGACCGGCCACACUGGGACUGAGAUACGGCCCAGACUCCUACGGGAGGCAGCAGUGGGGAAUAUUACACAAUGGGCGCAAGCCUGAUGCAGCGACGCCGCGUGAGGGAUGACGGCCUUCGGGUUGUAAACCUCUUUCAGCACAGACGAAGCGCAAGUGACGGUAUGUGCAGAAGAAGGACCGGCCAACUACGUGCCAGCAGCCGCGGUAAUACGUAGGGUCCGAGCGUUGUCCGGAAUUACUGGGCGUAAAGAGCUCGUAGGUGGUUUGUCGCGUUGUUCGUGAAAACUCACAGCUUAACUGUGGGCGUGCGGGCGAUACGGGCAGACUUGAGUACUGCAGGGGAGACUGGAAUUCCUGGUGUAGCGGUGAAAUGCGUAGA
rnacentral:rRNA from 1 species